UGUGAGUGAUGAUCUGCCUUUGGUCCGUGUUUUUGAGAACACUAUGAUAUUUUACAGGGCAUACUGACACA